rnacentral:rRNA from 1 species
GUCUACGGCCAUGCCACCCUGAACACGCCCGAUCUUGUCUGAUCUCGGAAGCUAAGCAGGGUUGAGCCUGGUUAGUACUUGGUUGGGAGACCACCUAGAAAUACCAGGUGCUAUAGGUG